AUACGGAGGGUGCAAACGUUGUUCGGAAUCACUGGGCGUAAAGGGCGCGCAGGCGGUUUGAUUAGUCAGAUGUGAAAGCCCACGGCUUAACCGUGGAAGUGCAUUUGAAACUGUCAGACUUGAGUACCAGAGGGGGUAGUGGAAUUCCCGGUGUAGAGGUGAAAUUCGUAGAUAUCGGGAGGAAUACCGGUGGCGAAGGCGACUACCUGGCUGGAUACUGACGCUGAGGCGCGAAAGCGUGGGGAGCAAACAGGAUUAGAAACCCCAGUAGUCC
rnacentral:rRNA from 1 species